rnacentral:lncRNA from 1 species
AUGGUUUUUAGGGUCAAAACGGCUGUGUUGGAUGACCAAUGUAUAUCUCUAUUUGAGGAAUUCUCCAAAGAUCCAGAGCCGAUUGUUUCAUAGAGCUGUGAAGUUGCGUUAAACAUACUGGAUUUUGAACGAUCCGACAAACCAUUCGAGGUACUUGGAAGAUUAAGUCUCUUAUCUGGGUGGUUGUUACAGGUUUAGGAUGUUAAAUGAUUUUGGAUGUACUCUGCGAUGUCGAUGAUGCAGAGAUGUUGGAGAAGCUCAGGUUAACAACUUCAUGUGUAUAUUUUAAUGAAUAAAGUUUUUGUUGUUUAUAUUUUCUAAUUUAAACUUUUAAUUAACUUCUAAAUUUAAUUAAACUAGAAUUAAGACCCGCCGCAAUGCGGCGGGGCUUCUUUAGUGAUAACUAAGUCGAUUUUGUGCGCGCACGUUAUGUUGAACCUAUCAAACAGGAAAAAAUAGACGAUGUAAAAACGUUCACCCGCAAAAUUUAGAACGAAACGUAAAACAUUAAACCAAAGACGCACGUUGUAGUGUGUUAAGUCACAAAAUUUAGAACGAAUGAUAAAGCUAAAAAUUUGCGGAAAAUGAAAAAUAUAAAGGACCAAAGUUGAAAGUAAAAAAAGUUGUGAGGAUAAAUUGCAACAGAUUAAAAGUUUUGUGUUAAAAGUAAAAAAAAAACAAAUAGUUUUGGGUUAAAAGUAAUUUAUAAAAUACUUUUGGGUGAAAAGUAAAACAUCAAUUUUUUUUGAAAAACCUCCAAAGCCAAGGUUACAACAACCAUAUGCAUAACCAUUUUUUCUUUGAAAAACCCCCAAAGCCAAUAUUACAACACAUAAGUAAAAAAAAUCAAAGUGGUUAAAUCGCAAAAGAUGGAAACUUUUGAAUUAGGAGUGAAAAAAUCAAAUUAAUCAAAGGGGUUAAAUUACCAAAGAUUAAAACUUUAAACUUAAAUUGUCAAAGAUUAAAACUUUAGGGUUAAAAAGGAAACAAAGAUUAAAAUUUUAAACUUAAAUUGCCAAAUAUUAAAACUUUAGGGUAAAUUAUCAAAGAUUAAAACCUUAGGGUUUAAAAGGAAACAAAAAUUAAAACUUUAAACUUAAAUUGUCAAAAAAUUAAAAGUUUAGGGUUAGAAAGGAAAAUUUCCAUUUUUUUUUUAAAGCAACCCAAAGCUAAAGUUACAACAUAUAUAUGCACAUAUAAGUUGCUUCUUUAUAAGGUUUUAAUGAGUUUGUUUUGCAGGUUCGAACAACUUCAUGUGUAUAUUUUAUUAUAAAAAAUAAAAGUUUUUUUUUGUUUCAUGGGUCGUUCAGAGAGGCAAGUUUCUGCGUCCGGUUCUUGCCCGAAGUUUCUGACCUUACUCGCAACCCAUUGACUACAACUUUCAAUUCAAAACAAUUAUAAAAAAAUUACGUUUGAAAACAUGUAUUUUUAUUUUAUUUAAUGACAUAACUCGAUUAAUAUAAAGUAAAUUUUUCUACCCGCGAAGUUCGCGGGUGAUAACCUAGUUAAGAGUACAUUUAAAAUCAAAGCAAACAAAUCCUAUUUAUAAGACCACAUAAACGUGUUCUUAAAACAAAAAAAUAUGGGGGUUCACAAAAGGGGUUAACUUGCAAAAGUUGAAAAAGUUUGGGUAAAGGUAAAAAAUCAAAAUCAAAGAGGUUAAAAUAC